rnacentral:rRNA from 1 species
CCUACGGGUGGCAGCAGUGAGGAAUAUUGGUCAAUGGGCGCGAGCCUGAACCAGCCAAGUAGCGUGAAGGAUGACUGCCCUACGGGUUGUAAACUUCUUUUAUACAGGAAUAAAGUGAUGCACGUGUGCAUUUUUGUAGGUACUUUAUGAAUAAGGAUCGGCUAAUUCCGUGCCAGCAGCCGCGGUAAUACGGAGGGUCCGAGCGUUAUCCGGAUUUAUUGGGUUUAAAGGGAGCGUAGGUGGGUUGUUAAGUGAGUUGUGAAAUUUUGCGGCUCAACCGUAAAAUUGCAAUGGAUACUGGCAGCCUUGAGUACAGUUGAGGUAGGCGGAAUUCGUGGUGUAGCGGUGAAAUGCUUAGAUAUCACGAAGAACCCCGAUUGCGAAGGCAGCCUACUAAACUGCCACUGACAUUGAUGCUCGAAAGUGUGGGUAUCAAACAGGAUUAGAUACCCUUGUAGUC